rnacentral:rRNA from 1 species
AUUGAACGCUGGCGGCAUGCCUUACACAUGCAAGUCGAACGGCAGCACGGGGCAACCUGGUGGCGAGUGGCGAACGGGUGAGUAAUGCAUCGGAACGUGCCAUUGAGUGGGGGAUAACGUAGCGAAAGUUGCGCUAAUACCGCAUAUUCUGUGAGCAGGAAAGCAGGGGACCGCAAGGCCUUGCGCUCUUUGAGCGGCCGAUGUCAGAUUAGCUAGUUGGUGAGGUAACGGCUUACCAAGGCGACGAUCUGUAGCGGGUCUGAGAGGAUGAUCCGCCACACUGGAACUGAGACACGGUCCAGACUCCUACGGGAGGCAGCAGUGGGGAAUUUUGGACAAUGGGCGCAAGCCUGAUCCAGCCAUGCCGCGUGAGUGAAGAAGGCCUCGGUUGUAAGG